CACCAGCGCCCCGAGUGGGGGUCUCGCUUAUUGGGUCUAAAGCGUCCGUAGCUGGUCUGUUAAAUCUCUUGUGAAAUUGUCCGGCUCAACCGGGCAGCGUGCAGGGGAGACUGGCAGACUAGGGACCGGGAAGGGUUGGGGGUAUGUCGGGGGGAGCGGUAAAAUGCUAUAAUCCCCGAUAGACCACCUGUGGCGAAGGCGCCCAACUAGAACGGGUCCGACAGUGAGGGACGAAAGCCAGGGGAGCAAACCGG
rnacentral:rRNA from 1 species